rnacentral:rRNA from 1 species
GAUGAACGCUGGCGGCGUGCCUAAUACAUGCAAGUCGAGCGAACGGACGAGAAGCUUGCUUCUCUGAUGUUAGCGGCGGACGGGUGAGUAACACGUGGAUAGCCUACCUAUAAGACUGGGAUAACUUCGGGAAACCGGAGCUAAUACCGGAUGAUAUUUUGAACCGCAUGGGUCAAAAGUGAAAGACGGUCUUGCUGUCACGUAUAGAUGGAUCCGCGCUGGAUUAGCUAGUUGGUAAGGUAACGGCUUACCAAGGCAACGAUGCAUAGCCGACCUGAGAGGGUGAUCGGCCACACUGGAACUGCGCCACGGUCCAGACUCCUACGGGAGGCAGCAGUAGGGAAUCUUCCGCAACGGGCGAAAGCCUGACGGAGCAACGCCGCGUGAGUGAUGAAGGUCUUCGGAUCGUAAAACUCUGUUAUUAGGGAAGAACAUAUGUGUAAGUAACUGUGCACAUCUUGACGGUACCUAAUCAGAAAGCCACGGCUAACUACGUG